rnacentral:rRNA from 1 species
GACGAACGCUGGCGGCGUGCCUAAUACAUGCAAGUAGAACGCUGAAGGAGGAGCUUGCUUCUCCGGAUGAGUUGCGGACGGGUGAGUAACGCGUAGGUAACCUGCCUGGUAGCGGGGGAUAACUAUUGGAAACGAUAGCUAAUACCGCAUAACAGUAGAUGUUGCAUGACAUUUGCUUAAAAGGUGCAAUUGCAUCACUACCAGAUGGACCUGCGUUGUAUUAGCUAGUUGGUGAGGUAACGGCUCACCAAGGCGACGAUACAUAGCCGACCUGAGAGGGUGAUCGGCCACACUGGGACUGGGACACGGCCCAGACUCCUACGGGAGGCAGCAGUAGGGAAUCUUCGGCAAUGGACGGAAGUCUGACCGAGCAACGCCGCGUGAGUGAAGAAGGUUUUCGGAUCGUAAAGCUCUGUUGUAAGAGAAGAACGAGUGUGAGAGUGGAAAGUUCACACUGUGACGGUAUCUUACCAGAAAGGGACGGCUAACUACGUG